rnacentral:lncRNA from 1 species
UAAAAAAUUUGAAUUUUAAAACAUAAAUGUUGGCAUAAAUAUGCACUCAUCAGUUUACUAUAUAAAUAAGAAUUUGAAUAGAAUCUUUAUUUAUCUCUAGUCAUUAUUGUUAAUGAGUUUAAUGUAAAUCAAAAUAAACAGAAUCAAUUAUGUUUUUCAUGUAUAAAUUGUAUUCCACCAGAAAUGAAAGUAACAGAAGAAUAUACAGAGUACCUUUGUCUUCUCUUCUCCCGAAUCUCUCUUAGUCUUCGUUUCUUUGUUUUCUCCCUCUCCUUUGGAGUCUUU